GACGAACGCUGGCGGCGUGCUUAGCACAUGCAAGUCGAACGGUAAGGCCCUUCGGGGUACACGAGUGGCGAACGGGUGAGUAACACGUGGGUGAUCUGCCCUCGAGCUCGGGAUAACCUUGCGAAAGCGAGGCCAAUACCCGAUAAGACCACGCCCCCCUCGGGGGGUUCGGUACAAGGUUGCUCCUUCUUUAAAGCUAUCACUUGAGGAGGAGCCAGCGGCCUAUUAGCUAGCUGGUGAGGUAACGGCUUACCAAGGCGACGACCGGUAGCCGGCCUGAGAGGGUGACCGGCCACACUGGGACUGAGACACGGCCCAGACUCCUACGGGAGGCAGCAGUGGGGAAUAUUGCACAAUGGGCGCAAGCCUGAUGCAGCAACGCCGCGUGAGGGAUGACGGCCUUCGGGUUGUAAACCUCUUUUAAUAGGGAAGAAGCGAAAGUGACGGUACCUGCAGAAAAAGCACCGGCUAACUACGUGCCAGCCGCCGCGGUAA
rnacentral:rRNA from 1 species